CCGAAGAUUUCCGGGGCUAAAACUUACUACCGAAGCUACGGCAUCAGUAAUGAUGGGUAGGGGAGCUUCCCAUACGGGUUGAAGCAUGACCGUAAGGACAUGUGGACAGUAUGGGAGUGAGAAUGUUGGCAUGAGUAGCGAGAUGUGGGGGAGAAUCCCACAGGCCGUAAACCCAAGGUUUCCAGGGGAAGGUUCGUCCGCCCUGGGUUAGUCGGGACC
rnacentral:rRNA from 1 species